AGGUAAGUAGAUAACAUCAAACACAGUUGCACUGCACAGAACAAGACUAAUAAACAGCUUGCAGAUUUAAUGUUUGGAACUUCUAAUUCCCAUUUCUACUGCUAACAGGUUUGUAUUUUAUGUGCUUCCAAAGGAAAAACAAAAGAGUAUAGACAUUGAAAGCAUUGCAUACUGCUGAAUCUUAGUCUAGGGUCAACUUUUCGGCCCUAAGUUGAUGCACUUGUUCAGUAUCUAAAGGUAAGCAUCUGAUAUCAUGCAUGUAAAAGUAAAUACUUUGGUCAAAGUUUAGUAAAAUAAGAGUAACUUUCAAUAAAAGGAAAUCUUUGUUAUCCAUAUGUUCAGUGACUAAAGUUACUUGAAGCAAAGCUUAGCCAAACUUGAGGUAAUAAUUAACUCAUAGCUUUAUUGAAGCAGCCUAAGCAACUAAAGAGACAAUAAUGAAACAUAAGAUAAUAAGCACAAUACUGCUUCUCAUUUGUAAAGGCUAGGAAUGGGAGUCGUAUGAAUAAAUGAGACCUUACCAAGUAGCAAAGAAGUCAACCAAUACUGGUCUAAAUUCUCUAACACAUCAACAAAAGAAGAUAAUGUUUGUUGUUUCGCUUCAACCUGAUUAUAAACACAUUAAUUGGACUUAAAAUACAAAAUUUAUCAAAGUAAGAUACAGGGGAAGCUCAAACAUGUUGGCUCCACCUCUCUCUCAAGCAUUUCAUCAGACAUUUGUCUACAUUUAUCACACUCACCCUUCUUAAACCACAAUUUCAUCAUAAUGUUAAAGGAAACAGAGUAGAAUCUAAAACCCAAUUUAUGACCAUCCCUAAAGAGCUCAGUUGCAUCAAUGACUCAAUCAUUAUCAACCAAAACAUUCAAAAUCAUAUUACGAAACAAAAAAUCAGAAAUCUUGAAAUCCAUAACAAAAAAAAACGCAUUUUCACUCACCCGAAAGUUGGAAAAACGAAGCAACAGAAAAGCGUGCAAUGUUGGUGGGGAUUAUGUCGAUAAUUUUUGGGUCACCAUCGCCGGUACUCCAAAAACGUGAGCAAUUCGACCGUGAGAAAUGGGAAUGGAGAGUGCGGUGACAAGAAAGAGAGAGGGAAAUAGGGUUUGGCGAAAAUGGGAUUGUUUCACAGUCAAUGCCUGGAAAAUGAAAAACCAGCAUACCUAUAGGAAUUGAAAUUCCUCAGUUUGGUGGAAUUGGAGGGUCACGUGACUGAAAGUGAGAAAAACAAUUCCCUGGAAAAAUUUACCUAUCAAACAGCCUUACAUUUGGAAAAAGUGGAAAAAAUAUCAUUUUCCCUGGAAAAAACUGCCUAUCAAAUAGGCGCUAAGAGUGUGUUUG
rnacentral:lncRNA from 1 species